GACGAAGGCUGGCGGCGUGCUUAACACAGGCAAGUCGAACGGAAAGGCCCUGCUUUUUUGGGGUUCUCGAGGGGCGAACGGGUGAGUAACACGUGAGUAACCUGCCCUUUGCUUUGGUAUAACUUCAGGAAACUGGGGCUAAUACCGGAUAGGAGCUCCUGCUGCAUGGUGGGGGUUGGAAAGUUUCGGCGGUUGGGGAUGGACUUGCGGCUUAUCAGCUUGUUGGUCGGGUAGUGGCUUACCAAGGCUUUGACGGGUAGCCGGCCUGAGAGGGUGUACGGCCACAUUGGGACUGAGAUACGGCCCAGACUCCUACGGGAGGCAGCAGUGGGGAAUAGUGCACAAUGGGAGGAAGCCUGAUGCAGCAACGCCGCGUGCGGGAUGACGGCCUUCGGGUUGUAAACCGCUUUCGCCUGUGACGAAGCGUGAGUGACGGUAAUGGGUAAAGAAGCACCGGCUAACUACGUG
rnacentral:rRNA from 1 species